rnacentral:lncRNA from 1 species
AUGUUAGCCGUUAUUAUCGUCACCAGGAAGGAGAACCAGAGAAAUACUGAGAGCCGAAUGUAUUUUUUCCCCAGGAUUCACAAACAACAAAACUCAGCCUCAGGGGAGAUAGAUCUUUUCCGCUCUCUUCAGAAACUCAACGGCUUCCAGCUCAGUUUAAAACUGAGCAACGGUCAAGAAAAAGAAGGCAGGGCAGUGAGGAAAACAGGCCAGCAUCCUGACAAAGAGGCAAGGAUGGAUCUUGACUGAGGAGGAACGUGCAUCGCCCGCUGGAAGAGCACAGAGACGGCCUCUUCUUCAGAAAUCAAUUUCCAGUUUAUCUCCUGUAGACGCCGCGCCCCAAGGCCUGCCCACCCGGGCACAGCUGCUCAACCCCGGGCUGGAGGUUGGCGCCAUCUGCUCAGGAUGUUGCUGCCUGCAGAGAUUUGCAAAGACUCUUUCCCUUGGCUGCCGAUAAUUUGUACAAAGUCUUUGUGAGUUUCAUAAGUCAGUUUAGAAGCUAAAUAAUUGAGGCGGUAUAAUUUUAGCUCCUCAUUUCUCCUUAUAAAAGUUAGCUGUUUAUGAGAAAUCUAAAAAUUUCCCUUUCCCCAGAAGAAUUCUCUUUCAGGCCUGAAAUAGCCUUAUGAGGCAGCGUACUCAUGGGAUGAUACACGUGAGGCGAAUCAAAGGGCUCGUCCCAAGUUUGAUGCGCCUAAAAUUAGCCCUGUAACUGCAGUGCAUGGACCGGGCUGGCUCCUCUCAGCUUCCUCUGCUUCUGAGCCGGUGGCUGACAGCCUGGGACUCCACAUCAGCCACGCACCACUGACCCUGCUUUUGUGCACACAGCCACAUACAAAAGAGCCACAGGUCUAUGGAAAUGGGACUGGAGGAGGCUUCCCAGGGUCCCCCUUUGAUUCCUCUAAGGCCUAGAAAGUUCCGUUCAAAAUCCCUGGAGCUUUGAUCUUAGCAUCAACUCUAAACCAGGUCUACCUACGUCCGGACUUUUACGAGCCUGAGAUUCCUGUGAAAUCUGUACGUAGAUUAACACAGGUUUUGUAAACUCUAGUGCUAACCGUGUC